CGAACGCUGGUCGCAUGCCUUACACAUGCAAGUCGAGCGGGCGUAGCAAUACGUCAGCGGCAGACUGGCCCAGUAACGCGUGGGAACGUACCUUUUGGUUCGGAACAACACAGGGAAACUUGUGCUAAUACCGGAUAAGCCCUUACGGGGAAAGAUUUAUCGCCGAAAGAUCGGCCCGCGUCUGAUUAGCUAGUUGGUGAGGUAAUGGCUCACCAAGGCGACGAUCAGUAGCUGGUCUGAGAGGAUGAUCAGCCACACUGGGACUGAGACACGGCCCAGACUCCUACGGGAGGCAGCAGUGGG
rnacentral:rRNA from 1 species